rnacentral:lncRNA from 1 species
GUAGCGAAGGGGGGGCGCCACAGGCAGCGGAGAGGGUGGGGAGCUGUCCUUGUGGGCGUGUCUCAGUCGGGAGUGGCGGGGCUCUGAGCCAAUGGGACGGGGGCGGGGGGGGGGGGGGGCCGGGGGCCAAUGAGGGGGCCGGCGAGGCGGCGGCGGCUGCCUGUGAAAGUGUCGAGCUGGUGCGCUGGGGGAAGAGAGAAGAUGAGAGAGCUGGGCAACUUCUAAGGCUUACAGAGGAAGAUUUGAAAUCAAAAGUUAAAGGAGGGAUGGGAGUUGCCCGUGUACUCCUAAUUCUGCGGCUUUGGUCUAGGCAACUUUUUGCUGGAACCUUCACCAGCUUCCCUCUUAAUCGAGCUCCUUUCAAGCACAUUCACAGAAACAGGAGAAGCAGCAUAAAAAGGAAGUGUUAG